rnacentral:rRNA from 1 species
UCCAGACUCCUACGGGAGGCAGCAGUGGGGAAUAUUGGGCAAUGGGCGCAAGCCUGACCCAGCAACGCCGCGUGAAGGAAGAAGGCUUUCGGGUUGUAAACUUCUUUUCUCAGGGACGAAGCAAGUGACGGUACCUGAGGAAUAAGCCACGGCUAACUACGUGCCAGCAGCCGCGGUAAUACGUAGGUGGCAAGCGUUAUCCGGAUUUACUGGGUGUAAAGGGCGUGUAGGCGGGGACGCAAGUCAGAUGUGAAAACCAUGGGCUCAACCUGUGGCCUGCAUUUGAAACUGUGUUUCUUGAGUACUGGGGAGGCAGACGGAAUUCCUAGUGUAGCGGUGAAAUGCGUAGAUAUCAGGAGGAACACCGGCGGCGAAGGCGGCCUGCUGGACCGCGACUGACGUUGAGGCUCGAAAGCGUGGGGAGCGAACAGGAUUAGAUACCCUAGUA